GGUUUCCUCUGCCGCCUUCGAGGUGUAAACGCACCCGCAGGGCAGCCUGAGGUUUGCGUAACCGGAGACUCGCCAGUGGAGAUGCCGUGGGUGUGUCCACACUCCGGGGACACCUUACUGUACCAGCGGCGAUGUUUGAAGUUUUAAAAUGAGAUCAGCAUGCCAUCCUGGCCAGGUUUUGACAUGAAUGGGACCACUCGGGGAUGGUGUGGAGCAGCACUAUACAAUAGAACUGCCUGUGAUGAUGGGAGUCCUGCCCUGUAUGAUAGCCACGAACCACCUGUGGCUAUUGCGCACUUGAAAUGCCUAGUGCAACCAAGGAAAUGAAU